rnacentral:rRNA from 1 species
UACGGGGGGGGCAAGCGUUGUUCGGAAUUACUGGGCGUAAAGGGCUCGUAGGUGGCCAACUAAGUCAGACGUGAAAUCCCUCGGCUUAACCGGGGAACUGCGUCUGAUACUGGAUGGCUUGAGUUUGGGAGAGGGACGCGGAAUUCCAGGUGUAGCGGUGAAAUGCGUAGAUAUCAGGAGGAAUACCGAUGGCGAAGGCAGGUCUCUGGGCUGACACUGACGCUCAUGCACGAAAGCCGUGGGGAGCAAACAGG